CUCAGCUUAAUAGCAGGACGCUGGCAACAGGCACUCCCUGCUCCAGUCCAGCCUGCGCGCUCCACCGCCGCUAUGGUCUCCGUGCCUACCACCUGGUGCUCCGUUGCGCUAGCCCUGCUCGUGGCCCUGCAUGAAGCUCCUGGCUCGACAAGGAGUGCGUCUACUUCUGCCACUUGGACAUCAUCUGGGUGAACACUCCUGAACAGACAGCUCCUUACGGCCUGGGAAACCCGCCAAGACGCCGGCGCCGCUCCCUGCCAAGGCGCUGUCAGUGCUCCAGUGCCAGGGACCCCGCCUGUGCCACCUUCUGCCUUCGAAGGCCCUGGACUGAAGCCGGGGCAGUCCCAAGCCGGAAGUCCCCUGCAGACGUGUUCCAGACUGGCAAGACAGGGGCCACUACAGGAGAGCUUCUCCAAAGGCUGAGGGACAUUUCCACAGUCAAGAGCCUCUUUGCCAAGCGACAACAGGAGGCCAUGCGGGAGCCUCGGUCCACACAUUCCAGGUGGAGGAAGAGAUAGUGUCGUGAGCUGGAGGAACAUUGGGAAGGAAGCCCGCGGGGAGAGAGGAGGAGAGAAGUGGCCAGGGCUUGUGGACUCUCUGCCUGCUUCCUGGACCGGGGCCUUGGUCCCAGACAGCUGGACCCAUUUGCCAGGAUUGGCACAAGCUCCCUGGUGAGGGAGCCUCGUCCAAGGCAGUUCUGUGUCCUCGCACUGCCCAGGGAAGCCCUCGGCCUCCAGACUGCGGAGCAGCCUCCAGUGCUGGCUGCUGGCCCACAGCUCUGCUGGAAGAACUGCAUGGGG
rnacentral:lncRNA from 1 species